rnacentral:lncRNA from 1 species
GUGGAUUCCUACAGGUCCAAGCCAGAGAGUAGAAUCAUCAAGAUGCAAGUAUGUUUGAGUGAAAAACAUAACAAUGUUGAAUCAGAAGGAGAGAAACUACUGCAGUGGCCCAGAGGACUGCAAGUGCCUGAAAGCUCACUGGGGAUGGAAAAUAUGACUUCCCUCUAGUUUCUUCAUUCUGGGUUUGUCAAGGAUACACACCCUACAGAGAGACCCCUCACCUUUCCCCACAAACGGUACCUCCUUUUCCUUCCCCUACUCAGUAGGAAUGUGCUCUUUAAGGAUUCUGCAAGAGCAGAACUGGUGAGAAAGGUGCUUUUAAAAACAGUGCUGUGGACUUCCAUCCUAACCCAGUGCAGAGCACUGGCACAGUAUGUAAAUGCUUAGUAUAUUUCUUUUCAUGUUUGUUAUGAUCAAAAAGUCAUUACUGACUUCACCAUUGUAAACAAUGAAACACCAAGCUAUGAGUGAUGAUUUAAAGUGAAAAUACAGCACAGGAGCCCCCAAAACACCUUAUACUACAUCAUGCAAUAAUGUAAUAAUCCCCAAAAGCCCAAGCCAGCAAAUAUGCUGCACAGAAAACUGGUAAGACACUGAAAAGCAAACUUCGCCAAGAAAAAAAGUUCCACUGAAAUUUUUAUUCAGCUUAUGAUAGUGUAUACCAUUUUCUUUUGGCCUUUGUAAUUUCUCUGUCAUUUAGUUUCUAAGAGAACAUUGGUCAGCAGGCUUUAUAACUGUUUUCUUCAGAUGGAGAAGAAUCAUGAUAAAGGUCACAUUUCCACUGCUAAGUGCUCUUGGAUAUGGUGAUCCUGAAGAAACUGCUGCCUGUGGAGACUGCACUGAUGGAACAGGGGAGCCACAGUCUGUUAGGCAUAGAAAGCAUGUCCUAAGACACAGUUCAUUCUUAUGGAAAUUUACAUGAUUUAGGGUUUAUGUUUCCAUGUAAACCCAUAAAACAUAAUCCACACAAUUUUAGAACAACGUUACACUCUAUUUUAUAAGGAACAGAAAAAUCAGCUAUAUAAUUUGCCAUCUCCCUUGCCCAAAUGUGUCAAUACUUAAUUGAUCCUUGCUUUUCCUUUUUGGUUGAGCUAAUCAAGAUAAAUGUAAAAGCAACGGUGCCUAAAAGAACAGGCACUCAGCAUAUAGUUGAUUGAAAGAAAUAAGAGGGAGACCCAUAGAGAAACUAUGAACAUGAUAAAAAAUGUUGAUUAAAACAAUAUAGUCAUCUGGCUGUCUUUCGUUUACUUACAUGAAUGAGCCAAUAAAAUCAAC